AGUGGCGAACGGGUGAGUAACGCGUAGGCAAUCUGCCUUCUAGAUGGGGACAACAUCCCGAAAGGGGUGCUAAUACCGAAUGUUGUAGUAUUUCCGCAUGGAGAUGCUACUAAAGGUGGCCUCUGAAUAUGCUACCGCUAGAAGAUGAGCCUGCGUCUGAUUAGCUAGUUGGAGGGGUAACGGCCCACCAAGGCUUCGAUCAGUAGCCGGUCUGAGAGGAUGAACGGCCACACUGGGACUGGGACACGGCCCAGACUCCUACGGGAGGCAGCAGUGGGGAAUCUUCCGCAAUGGACGAAAGUCUGACGGAGCAACGCCGCGUGAGUGAAGAAGGUUUUCGGAUCGUAAAGCUCUUUCGUUAGGGACGAACGUGCUCUUUGUGAAUAAUGAGGAGUAAUGACGGUACCUAAAUAAGAAGCCACGGCUAACUACGUGCCAGCAGCCGCGGUAAUACGUAGGUGGCAAGCGUUGUCCGGAAUUAUUGGGCGUAAAGCGCGCGCAGGCGGGAUAUCAAGUCUGUCUUAAAAGUGCGAGGCUCAACCUCGUGAGGGGACAGAAACUGGUAUUCUUGAGUGUCGGAGAGGAAAGUGGAAUUCCAAGUGUAGCGGUGAAAUGCGUAGAGAUUUGGAAGAACACCAGUGGCGAAGGCGACUUUCUGGACGAUGUCUGACGCUGAGGCGCGAAAGCUAGGGGAGCGAACGGGAUUAGAUACCCCGGUAGUCCUAGCCGUAAACGAUGGGUACUAGGUGUAGG
rnacentral:rRNA from 1 species